UACGUAGGGUGCAAGCGUUGUCCGGAAUUAUUGGGCGUAAAGAGCUCGUAGGCGGUCAGUCGCGUCUGCUGUGAAAACUCGGGGCUAACCCCGGGCCUGCAGUGGGUACGGGCUGACUAGAGUGCGGUAGGGGAGACUGGAAUUCCUGGUGUAGCGGUGAAAUGCGCAGAUAUCAGGAGGAACACCGGUGGCGAAGGCGGCCAUCUGGACCAGUACUGACGCUGAGGCACGAAAGCGUGGGGAGCAAACAGG
rnacentral:rRNA from 1 species